CGCGGGAUGGAGCAGUUGGUAGCUCGUCGGGCUCAUAACCCGAAGGUCGCAGGUUCAAAUCCUGCCCCCGCAACCA
rnacentral:tRNA from 1 species